rnacentral:rRNA from 1 species
GCGCAUGCAGGCGNUCUGUUAAGUCAGAUGUGAAAGCCCCGGGCUUAACCUGGGAGUGGCAUUUGAGACUGGCAGGCUAGAGUCUUGUAGAGGGGGGUAGAAUUCCAGGUGUAGCGGUGAAAUGCGUAGAGAUCUGGAGGAAUAUCGGUGGCGAAGGCGGCCCCCUGGACAAAGACUGACGCUCAGAUGCGAAAGCGUGGGUAGCAAACAGGAUUAGAUACCCUGGUAGUCCACGCCGUAAACGAUGUCUACUUGAAGGUUGGGAUCUUGAAUUCUGGCCUUCGGAGCUAACGCGUUAAGUAGACCGCCUGGGGAGUACGGUCGCAAGAUUAAAACUCAAAUGAAUUGACGGGGGCCCGCACAAGCGGUGGAGCAUGUGGUUUAAUUCGAUGCAACGCGAAGAACCUUACCUACUCUUGACAUCCAGAGAAGCCAGCAGAGAUGCAGGUGUGCCUUCGGGAACUCUGAGACAGGUGCUGCAUGGCUGUCGUCAGCUCGUGUUGUGAAAUGUUGGGUUAAGUCCCGCAACGAGCGCAACCCUUAUCCUUGUUUGCCAGACGUAAUGGUGGGAACUCCAGGGAGACUGCCGGUGAUAAACCGGAGGAAGGUGGGGACGACGUCAAGUCAUCAUGGCCCUUACGAGUAGGGCUACACACGUGCUACAAUGGUGCAUACAGAGGGAAGCAAGAGCGCGAGCUGGAGCGGAUCCCAAAAAGUGCAUCGUAGUCCGGAUUGGAGUCUGCAACUCGACUCCAUGAAGUCGGAAUCGCUAGUAAUCGUGGAUCAGAAUGCCACGGUGAAUACGUUCCCGGGCCUUGUACACACCGCCCGUCAUCUUGCNGAAAAACUC